GAGGAGACUUCAGUGAUAUCAGAGAGAGGCGAGAGAGAGGCGAUUAAACGGACAACUGAUCAGCGAUGCUUAUUUGAUCGGUGGAUGGAUCAAAUAAGAUCGGUGGAUGCAGAUGCGAAGAUCGGCGCUGCAGAUGCGAAGAUCGGCGCUGCAGAUGCGAAGAUGGGUGGAUGGAUGGAUGAUGAUCGGCGAUGCUUAUUUGAUCGGUCGAGGUACAGACAACUGAUCGGCAAUGGCUUAUUUGAUGUAAAUCAAAGCACAGUCAAAGCAAAUUCAGAGAUGGGUAUAUUACAAGUAAGAUUUUUACUCAGUUUAUUGAUUUCCCGAAAAUGUAGUGAGUUAAUGAAUUAGGAAGGCUUUGAUGUGGUUGAUGAUUGAUGGUUUGGAUGGAUUGGAUUACUGAUUGAAUCAAUGCUCUGUAGUGGUUAGGUUUGCAUUAGAUAUUGUAGUCAAUGCUUUGUUGAAUUAGGAUGUGAUUUGUAGUUGCUCUAUGUCACGGUUGAUAAAUGUGAGAGUGGAAUCAAUGCAUUUGUGUCACAAUGAAUGCUUCGGUUAAAACUCUAAUAAAUAGUUUCUUUUGCUCAUGUCUUCAGAAGCUACAAACUCUUAACUACAAACUCUAACUUAACUCUAACUUAACUUGAACUUUAAAUCUAUCUUCAAUGCUAACUCCAUCUUGAAUAAGCUUCUAUAUAUUGAAGCUCACUUUGUUUUUUUUAAAAGACACACACCCAAACUUCUUUCCACACUUUUUAAAAGACACACCGAAAUCACACACCCAAACACACACCCUAAACACAUUCACUAAACCUUCCAAUGGAUUCAACUAAUCCUUUUUCUGACACAUCAGGCUUCAUGGACCUGCUAACUAGCCAACAAAGAACCCAAACCCAUAGCCUUGAACCCAUGGAAACAACCAUAGCACUCGGUGAUUCACAAGUUCCAGUGUUUGGAACACAAUGGAGUGAUGCUCCAAGUCCAACUGAUGCACAAGAGAAGGAGCGUAAGACCAGGAAGCCAUGGACUCCUGCUGAAGAUCUUGCGCUUAUAAGCGCCUGGCUUAAUACCAGCAAGGAUCCAAUCAUCAGCAAUGGGCAAAGGGCAGAUGCAUUCUGGAAAAGAAUAGCCAUCUACUAUGCGGCGAGUCCUGACGUGUCUGCUGAAGAUAAGAGAGGGCCAACUAACUGUAAGCAGAGAUGGGCCAAGAUAAAUGAGUUUGUCUGCAAGUUUGUUGGGUCGUAUGAGGCAGCUUCAUCUCAAAAAACAUCAGGUCAAAAUGAAAAUGAUGUAAUGAAGCUGGCUUUGGAGAUAUUCCACAAUGAUUACAAACACAAAUUCACCAUGGAGCACUGCUGGAGAGAACUGCGUCAUGAUCAGAAGUGGGCAGGAAAUGGAAGCUCAAAAAAAAGAAGAACCGAUGGUGCUAGAGUUGAAGGAACCGAUGCUCCUUUGAGGCAUGGAGAUGAUGAAGGAAUUCCUCGGCCUGCUGGUGUAAAAGCUUCCAAGGGCAAAAAAAAAACAACAAAGACCAAUGGUGGUCGUUUGGAAGAAGAUGGUAAGGAUUUAGUGGACUUUAGAAGCAUCUUUGAGCUAAGGGAAAGGGAGUUAGCAUUGAAAGAUAAGACUAACAAGCAAAAGAUACUCGAAAAUCUGCUUGCAAAAACCGAACCUCUUACUGAGGUAGAAUUCGAGCUUAAGAACAAGCUCAUUAAGGAAAUGUUGUCAAAUAUGUGAGAGUUUGUAUGAGUGAGUUAAGGGUGAGGUCUGUUUUUCUUUGGUAUGAGUUAGUUUUUGGGUAUGUCAUAUUGUUAAGUCUUUUGGGUAUGUCAUAUUGUUAAGUCUUUUUGGGUAUGUCAUAUUGUUAAGUCUCGGGUAUAACUUCUAUGUCUUGUAAUGUUUGUUCUAUGUAUUUUUAUAAAGCCUUUCAGUUGUUUGUCUUUUGGUUUAGGUUCUAUGUAUUGUAUUCAAGACUCCAUAUAUAUAUAUGAUUUUGUUUCCUUUAUCAUUUGUAUGACUUAUAUUCACUUGUUCAUGAUCUCUUUUUUCUUAUUGCAGGCAACAAAGUCAUGGACAAACGGCUACAAAGGAGGCUUUGAAGAAAUGGCUACAAUUUGUAUAUUCAUAUAGGUUUGGGCCACCAUUAUUAUUUUGGCCGAUGUUUUGUGCAAUAUAAGGUUUGGAACUGGUACUUAGCUAUAUUUUGGGCCUGCUAUUUUGUAUUGGCCGUUAAAAACUUUUAGCCGAUGUUUUUAAGUCCCACUUCUUUUUCUGUCCCAAUUUGUUAUGUCCCACUUCUUUUUAUCCGAUGUUUUUGGCCAAGUCUUUAGCAAGUGGUGGUUCUGUAUUCAUAUGUACACACCACACAAUUUAUUACACAAUUUAUGGC
rnacentral:lncRNA from 1 species